rnacentral:lncRNA from 1 species
AUGGUGAGCUCCUUAGAGGGAAGUAUAGUACAUAUUUCCUCCAUGUCUCCAGUACCCAACACAGUGCCUGACGUUGAGAGGGCUCUUAAUAAGUGUUUGUGAAAGACUGGUAGAGCAAUGCCCUAUGAAACAAGAAGCUGGAUAACACUGCUUAGGACUCAGAGGAGAGAGGAGUGUGGUCUACACUGCACAUCUCUGCCAAGCCUGGCACGGGAUUUGAAGUUCCACACCACUGAGCCAAACACAUCCAGACCCUCUUCCAACCCGGGGAUCUGGUGGUAAGCAAAAUACUAUUCCAGCAAGUGAUGCCCCCAGUCUCCUAAGGAUAUAAGAAACAGGAAGUUGUGUUUGGCUGCGGACAAACUCUCUCAGUGCCCCUGGGACUUACAAGAUGUUUGGAAUGAGGAACGCUCUCCCAAUGCGAGCUCAGCGGAGGCCCCCAGAAAAACGUGGGGAGGAGAGUUUUCCCCAUAAGACAGACUGUCCUUCAGCCCCGGCCACCAAAGAGGAGUAACCCGGGCCUGCUGUUCUCUGGGACUGAAUGCGGCUGCAUCCUUCCCUUCCUCUGCUUCCUGUCCCGGUACUUACUGACGGUGCACAUGCGGGGCUUGGGGAAGCUGAGUGUCUAACCGCGGUGCAGCUACGGAUGGGAAAUUCUGGGCAGGGACGAGCCUGUCUUCACCUGAGGAAUUCCCUCCCACAUCACACAGGGCAGAGUGGGAGUGGAGGAGGGCAGAGGACACGUCUCAGGGCCAGUAACCUAGGCUUAUAGAAGACGUCAUCACCGUCCUCAUGAUGUUCACCCCGUCUCCUGUUUUUUGGGGCCAUGUGUUCCGAAAUGUAGCUUCAACUCAUCAUAGGGGCAAAAAGAAGUGAUGAGUCUGUGGCAGCAGAAAUCUGGGAAUCCAAGGGUCGUGCUAC